GAUAAGGAGCUGCCAGACACACUGUCAAGAGCCCAGCUACCAUACAACACUCCAGAGCUGAAAGAGUUGGAAUGUGUGUCCAUGCUGAAUUACGUAGCUGUGAGUGAAGAGAGGUAUGCUGAGCUUAAGGAUUGCACAAAGAAAGAACUGAGCUCUCUGCAGCAUGCAAUACAGCACGGAUGGCCAGAGAAUAGAAGGGAUGCACCAGCUGUUGUCCAACCAUACUGGGACUCAAGAAGUCAACUCACGGUAUGUGAUGGAGUGCAGUUUCCUGCAGUAAAAAGUGUUGAA